UCACUGACAUACUUUGUGAAUUACAUUUAUUAUAUGAAUUAAUUUAUCUUUUGAUGAUAGAGAAGAUUU